rnacentral:rRNA from 1 species
AGUACACCUUCGUAACAAGGUCUCCGUAGGUGAACCUGCGGAGGGAUCAUUACACAAAUAUGAAGGCGGGCUGGAACCUCUCGGGGUUACAGCCUUGCUGAAUUAUUCACCCUUGUCUUUUGCGUACUUCUUGUUUCCUUGGUGGGUUCGCCCACCACUAGGACAAACAUAAACCUUUUGUAAUUGCAAUCAGCGUCAGUAACAAAUUAAUAAUUACAACUUUCAACAACGGAUCUCUUGGUUCUGGCAUCGAUGAAGAACGCAGCGAAAUGCGCUAAGUAGUGUGAAUUGCAGAAUUCAGUGAAUCAUCGAAUCUUUGAACGCACAUUGCGCCCUUUGGUAUUCCAAAGGGCAUGCCUGUUCGAGCGUCAUUUGUACCCUCAAGCUUUGCUUGGUGUUGGGCGUCUUGUCUCUAGCUUUGCUGGAGACUCGCCUUAAAGUAAUUGGCAGCCGGCCUACUGGUUUCGGAGCGCAGCACAAGUCGCACUCUCUAUCAGCAAAGGUCUAGCAUCCAUUAAGCCUUUUUUUUCAACUUUUUGACCUCGGAUCAGGUAUGGAUACCCGCUGAACUUAACCCAUAUCAAUAAGCGG